rnacentral:rRNA from 1 species
GAGGAAUAUUGGUCAAUGGACGUAAGUCUGAACCAGCCAAGUAGCGUGCAGGAUGACGGCCCUAUGGGUUGUAAACUGCUUUUAUGUGAGAAUAAAGUUAACUACGUGUAGUUAUUUGCAUGUAUCACAUGAAUAAGGACCGGCUAAUUCCGUGCCAGCAGCCGCGGUAAUACGGAAGGUCCAGGCGUUAUCCGGAUUUAUUGGGUUUAAAGGGAGCGUAGGCCGUUUGAUAAGCGUGCUGUGAAAUUUAGAGGCUCAACCUCUACCGUGCAGCGCGAACUGUCAGACUUGAGUGCGUAGUAGGUAGGCGGAAUUCGUGGUGUAGCGGUGAAAUGCUUAGAUAUCACGAAGAACUCCGAUUGCGAAGGCAGCUUACCGUAUCGCAACUGACGCUGAUGCUCGAAGGUGCGGGUAUCGAACAGGAUUAGAUACCCUGGUAGUCCGCACAGUAAACGAUGGAUGCUCGCUGUUGGCCAUUUUGGUCAGUGGCUUAGCGAAAGCGUUAAGCAUCCCACCUGGGGAGUACGCCGGCAACGGUG